AGAGGGGGGUGGAAUUCCACGUGUAGCAGUGAAAUGCCUAGAGAUGUGGAGGAACACCAAUGGCGAAGGCAGCCCCCUGGGUCGAUACUGACGCUCAUGCACGAAAGCGUGGGUAGCAAACAGGAUUAGAUACCCUGGUAGUCCACGCCCUAAACGAUGUCAACUAGGUGUUGGGAGGGUAAAACCUUUUAGUGCCGUAGCUAACG
rnacentral:rRNA from 1 species